rnacentral:rRNA from 1 species
AAAGAUCGAAUGGGGAGAUUCAUCGUCAACGACGCUGGCUUCUCGGAUGUUCGUGAUGUCGGGGACUUCGGUCUCUCGGCACGCGUCCUUCGGGCAUGUCUGGCAGUGUCGACGUGCACUUCUCCCCUAGUAGGACGUCGCGACCCGUUGGGUGUCGGUCUACGGUACGGAAGGUCGACUGUCGCGUGGCCUCUGGCCUUUUGCGACAGACCUCCGGUCGCCCGGCCGGCUGCUCGGCGGUACUCGCACGGUAUCGGGCCGCGCCAUCGAACGCGUCGGGCCCGCCGCAAGCGCGGUCACGGAUCUCGGUGGCAACGGACCUGGUCCGUCCCCGGGCCUGGCCAGCUGUUGGUCGGCGGUGUUCUCCGACGGGCCAAGCUUUACGAUAUCGGUCGGCGACGCUAUUGCUUUGGGUACUCUCAGGACCCGUCUUGAAACACGGACCAAGGAGUCUAACAUGUGCGCGAGUCAUUGGGAAUGAAAACCUAAAGGCGAAAUGAAAGUGAAGGUCGGCCUAGCGCCGACCUAGGGAGGAUGGGCCGCGUCACGAUUCGGCUCCGCACUCCCGGGGCGUCUCGUUCUCAUU